ensembl:lncRNA
CUCCAUCGCAGCCGGACAAGUAGUGGGGGAACAUGGCGGCGGGGUAAGUACAGGGAUUGAACUCCGGACCUUGCACUUUCGAGGCAGGCACCAGAACCACUGAGCUAAAUCGCCAGCCCCCACAGUUUAUUCUCUAUAAGGACAAAAUGGGGAGCAACUUGGAUUGUGACCUAAAGUUCUUGUCUGCAGAUGGAUUCUGUGAGGAAAUCAAGGUGUGGUUCUGGGAUCAAAAUCAUUGAGAGGAACAAUGUGAGUCACCAUUCUGUCUGGGAGGCAGCCAAGUAUCUCGUUAAUAGGUUCUGCUAUUAAAAUAUUAUACCCUUUCCUUUCAUUCAUGACAAAUCCAAAUGAAUGCAACUUGGCAAGCAACAGGAAGGGGAAUGAAUACAUUAAAUUAAUUCUUGUGCUGACUAUUAAUGUAGUGCUACAAAAAGGGACUCACAACUAAGAAUUUGCCUUAAAUCUCAGAGGAGGCUUCGGACUUGGACUUUUCAGCAGUGCUAAAACUGUUAGGACUUUGGCAACUCUUGGAGAUGGACUAAAUGCUUUUUUUUGUAUAAAGGGAUAUGCACGAGUCUUUGGGGGGCCAGGGGCAGAAUGUUAUGGCUUGUGUCUAGAUAUCCCCCCAAAGUCUCAUGCUUUUUCUGAGGUGGUUGAAUCUACCGUGUGUGGUGCUGGGAGUAAAGGGCAUGUGAUUACUAAACCACAUAAGUGAUUGGUUUGGCACUACCUUAAUCCCUGUAGUCUGGAUGAAAUAAAAGGGGCAGAAAGACACUGUUAAAGUCUCUUGUUGCUUUUGCUGUCUUCUGCCUCCAUGAGCUGUUGCCCUUCUGCCAUCCUGCCUUGGAGCUAGCCGAUUAUGGACUGAAACCUCUACAAACUGUAAGCCAAAUAAACCUUUUCCC